rnacentral:rRNA from 1 species
GACGGAGGAUGCAAGUGUUAUCCGGAAUCACUGGGCGUAAAGCGUCUGUAGGUGGUUUCAUAAGUCCACUGUUAAAAAUUGAAGCUUAACUUCAAAGAUGCCGUGGAAACUUUGAAACUUGAGUAUGAUAGGGGUAGAGGGAAUUUCCAGUGGAGCGGUGAAAUGCGUAGAUAUUGGAAAGACCACCAAUGGCGAAGGCACUCUACUGGGCCAUUACUGACACUGAGAGACGAAAGCUAGGGGAGCAAAUGGG